rnacentral:rRNA from 1 species
UACGAAGGGGGCUAGCGUUGCUCGGAAUCACUGGGCGUAAAGCGCACGUAGGCGGCUUUCUAAGUCAGGGGUGAAAUCCUGGAGCUCAACUCCAGAACUGCCUUUGAUACUGAAGAUCUUGAGUUCGGGAGAGGUGAGUGGAAAUUCCCAGUGUAGAGGUGAAAUGCGUAGAUAUCUGGAGGAACACCGGUGGCGAAGGCGGCAUCCUGGACCGGUAUUGGACGCUGAGGCGCGAAAGCCAGGGGAGCAAAGCGGGG